rnacentral:tRNA from 1 species
AUUUAUAUAGUUUAAUAAAACCUUACAUUUUCACUGUAAAAAUGAAAAGAAUUUUCUAUAAAUA